GAUGAAGAACGUAGCGAAAUGCGAUAAGUAAUGUGAAUUGCAGAAUUCAGUGAAUCAUCGAAUCUUUGAACGCAUCUUGCGCUCCUUGGUAUUCUGAGGAGCAUGCCUGUUUGAGUGUCAUUUCAAGUUCUCAACCACAUCAAUUUCAAUGUGGCUUGGAUGGUGGGGGUUCUUUUUGCAGGCUUCUGUAAAUAUGAAGUCGGCUCCCCUGAAAUGUAUUAGUGGUAUCUGAGCUACUACAGGUGUGAUAACUAUCUAUGCCUUGGUAUGCUGCAUGAAACAGAUUGCGCCGCUUCUAACGAGUGGGAAACACAAUUUUGAUGAAUUUGACCUCAAAUCAGGUAGGACUACCCGCUGAACUUAAGCAUAUCAAUAAGCGGAGGA
rnacentral:misc_RNA from 1 species